AUUGAACGCUGGCGGCAGGCCUAACACAUGCAAGUCGAACGAGUGGCGGACGGGUGAGUAAUGUCGGGGAAAGUGCCUGAUGGAGGGGGAUAACUACUGGAAACGGUAGCUAAUACCGCAUACCAUCGGAUGUGCCCAGAUGGGAUUAGAUAGUAGGUGGGGUAACGGCGCACCUAGGCGACGAGCCCUAGCUGGGCUGAGAGGAUGACCAGCCACACUGGAACUGAGACACGGUCCAGACUCCUACGGGAGGCAGCAGUGGGGAAUAUUGGACAAUGGACGAAAGCCUGAUGCAGCCAUGCCGCGUGAAUGAAGAAGGCCUUCGGAUUGUAAAGUACUUUCAUCGGGGAGGCGUUACCCGAAGAAGAAGCAACGGCUAACUCCGUGCCAGCAGCCGCGGUAAUAC
rnacentral:rRNA from 1 species